UACGUAGGGCGCAAGCGUUGUCCGGAAUUAUUGGGCGUAAAGAGCUCGUAGGCGGUUUGUCGCGUCUGCUGUGAAAACCUAAGGCUCAACCUCGCGCCUGCAGUGGGUACGGGCAAACUAGAGUGUGGUAGGGGAGACCGGAAUUCCUGGUGUAGCGGUGGAAUGCGCAGAUAUCAGGAGGAACACCGAUGGCGAAGGCAGGUCUCUGGGCCACUACUGACGCUGAGGAGCGAAAGCAUGGGGAGCGAACAGG
rnacentral:rRNA from 1 species